AAGCAGAGAUUAAACCUCGUACCUUUUGCAUCAUGACUUAGCUAGCACCCCCAAGCAAAGAGCAUCUUUAGUUUGGCACCCCGAAACUAGUGUGAGCUACUCCAAGACAGCCUAUUCAAUAGGGCAAACCCGUCUCUGUGGCAAAAGAGUGGGAAGAGCUUUGAGUAGAGGUGACAGACCUACCGAACCUAGUUAUAGCUGGUUGCCUGAGAACUGGAUAGAAGUUCAGCCUCCCGGCUUCUCCAUUCAUAUACUAUUCCAAUAUGACUGCCCCCAGAUCUAGAAGAAACCCGCGAGAGUUAUUCUAAGGAGGUACAGCUCCUUUGAACCAAAAUACAAUUUUAUAAGGAGGGUAAAGAUCAUAAUCUUAACCAAGGCAGAAUGUCCUAGUGGGCCUAAAAGCAGCCACCCCUUUCAGAAAGCGUUAAAGCUCAGACAUACCUCUCCGCCCUAUAUCCCGAUAAUCUAAUCUUAACCCCCUAGCCCUAUCAGGCCGUUCCAUGCAAACAUGGAAGCGAUAAUGCUAACAUGAGUAACAAGAGGAUUUAUUUUAUCUGCGCUCCUCUCCCAGCACACGUGUACAUCGAAACGGACCAACCACCGAAACUUAACGGCCCCAAACAAAGAGGGAAUUGAAAGACAAACAUGAUAUACUAGAAAAUCAUCCAGCACGCAACCGUUAACCCCACACUGGUGUGCCAUUAAAGGAAAGACUAAAAGAAAAAGAAGGAACUCGGCAAACACAAGCCUCGCCUGUUUACCAAAAACAUCGCCUCUUGUACAACCACAUUAAAACAAAUAAGAGGUCCCGCCUGCCCAGUGACAACUGGUUCAACGGCCGCGGUAUUUUGACCGUGCAAAGGUAGCGUAAUCACUUGUCUUUUAAAUGAAGACCUGUAUGAAUGGCAUCACGAGGGCUUAGCUGUCUCCUUUUUCUAAGUCAGUGAAAUUGAUCUCCCCGUGCAGAAGCGGGGAUAAAAACAUAAGACGAGAAGACCCUAUGGAGCUUUAGACACCAGAAUAGCACAUGUUAAGACACCCUGAAUAAAGAACUGAACUUAAUGGCCCCCCUAUUCCAAUGUCUUCGGUUGGGGCGACCAUGAGGAACAAAAACCCCUCAUGUGGAAUGGGAGUACCACAACCCACACACUAUUUUUCCUAUACUCCUACAACCAAGAGCUACAACUCAAACUGACAGAAAUUCUGACCAACAAUGAUCCGGCAAUGCCGAUCAACGGACCAAGUUACCCUAGGGAUAACAGCGCAAUCCCCUUUUAGAGCCCAUAUCGACAAGGGGGUUUACGACCUCGAUGUUGGAUCAGGACAUCCUAAUGGUGCAGCCGCUAUUAAGGGUUC
rnacentral:rRNA from 1 species